rnacentral:rRNA from 1 species
UACAGAGGUCCCAAGCGUUGUUCGGAUUCACUGGGCGUAAAGGGUGCGUAGGUGGUGGGGUAAGUUUGAUGUGAAAGCUCCGAGCUUAACUCGGAAAUGGCAUUGAAUACUAUCCUGCUGGAGGUUUGGAGGGGGGACUGGAAUUCUCGGUGUAGCAGUGAAAUGCGUAGAUAUCGAGAGGAACACCAGUGGCGAAGGCGAGUCCCUGGACAACACCUGACACUGAGGCACGAAAGCUAGGGGAGCAAACAGG